CAAGGACAAUACUUGAGUUCAUGAAAAGCAAUGGAUGUAGUCCUAAUGUAUUCAAUUACUCAGUCUUAAUGAAUGGCUACUGUAAAGAGGGAAGAUUGCAAGAAGCAAAGGAGGUUUUCAAUGAAAUUAAGAGCCUUGGGAUGAAGCCCGAUACUAUCAGCUACACUACUUUAAUAAACUGUCUAUGUAGGACCGGAAGAGUCGACGAGGCAACAGAGUUACUCCAGCAGAUGAAGGACAAAGAUUGCAGAGCCGAUACCGUAACAUUUAACGUGAUGCUCGGAGGGCUAUGUCGAGAAGGUAGGUUUGAUGAGGCUCUUGAUAUGGUGCAGAAGCUUCCUUUUGAGGGUUUCUAUCUGAACAAAGGCAGUUACAGGAUUGUGUUGAAUUUCCUGACUCAAAAAGGAGAAUUGAGAAAGGCUACUGAG
rnacentral:lncRNA from 1 species